GGCAUCAUUUCCCCUUCCCCUUCAUCUGUGGGAUCACUAUCAGAGGAAGUCAGUUACACAGAAGGUUUAAAUAGAUCCAGUGUCCAUGUUCCAGUAGAAAACUAUCCAUUAUACCAAGAAACAGGGAGAUCUCAAACUGAAUAAAACAACAGAUGCCAACAGUCAGAUGACAGAAAUGUCAGAAUUUCUGAUAAAGAUUUUAAAGCAGCAAUUAAAAAAAUGUUUCAGUGAGCAACUGCACACACCUUUGAAACAAAUGAAAAAAUAUGAUCUCAACCAAGCAAGAGGAGACAUUAAGGAGACCCCAAUGAAGAUUUUAGAAGAGAAAAAUGCAAUAAACAAAUAAAAUGCUCACUGGAUGUGCUCAACAGCAGAAUAGAAGGGAUAAAAGAAAGGUUCUGUGAAUUUGAGGAUAGAAAAAUAGCCAUGAUCUAAUAUGAACAACCCAGAGAAAAUAAACUGAAAAAGAAAAAAAGAAGUGAACAGAACUGUGUGUACCUGUAUAGGAGUAAUGAAAGAUCUAAUAUUCAUGUCAUUGAAAUCCCUGAAGGUGAAGAGAAAGUAGGUAAGACUGAUAAGUGCUCACAGGGAAAAAAUGGCUGUAGAUUUCCAAUUUUUCCCCAAAAUUUGGCAAAGGACAUAAAGUUACAGAUUCAAGAAACCGUGUGAACUCUGAUUGGAAUGUAAAGAAACCACACCAUGACACUUCAUAGCCAAGCUUCUGAAGCUAAAGACAAAGAAAAAUAAAACUUGAAAGCAGUGAGAGAGAAAUGCUACCUUUCUUACAGAGAGACAAUUCAUUCAAAUCACAGUGAUUUUUUUCAUCAGAAACCAUGGAGGCCAGAAGAAAGUGGCACAGGAUUUUUCAAAUGCUGAAAGAAAGUAACUGCCACCUAUAAUUCUGUACCCAAGUGAAAAAGAUCUUCAGGAAUGACACCCAGGACACCAGACACUCUCAGGUAAAAUCAUCUGAGUGCACUGCAUCAUUCCAACGCAUAUCACAGAAGAGGCUUUUAGAGAUUAAAUAUUUGUCAUUUCUAGAAUAUAUGAUCAUCAGCACUUCCUAUGUGAAAAAUCCCAACUGUAAGAAAGCAAAAACAAACGAAUGAAGAAAGAGACAA